GAUGGGAAGGAGGUCAAACCAGGGAAGUGGUAAGAGGGCUAUAAGAUCUCCCAGAGCACCCACCUUCUGCCCUUGCAGCAGGCAUCUGGGCAGACAGGAAGCAGGGCUGGGGAGGAGUGGACAGGAUGGGCUGGCAAGGGACAGGAAGCACUUGGAGCACCAGGGAGGAAGGGAGGGGACAAAUCCCACCACCUAGCAGACCACAGGAAAGCCCCAAUCAUGGGCACUUCUGGCCUUCCCCACAGAAGAAUCCUGCCUUUUCCUCCAUAGUGAAAUUGGCAGCAGAAACAAAGGUGAAUUGGACAUUCUCCCACUCACCAGGAUAUUAGUGCCUCUUACAGGGGGACAAACGCCAGUGACAUAAAUAAUCAAGGGCCUUGAAGCAUCCCAAAUGACAGCAAGCCAGGACUCUGAGAUGGAACUAGGCACACCGGAGUUCCUAUCCUGAUUCCAGGCCCAAGAUCCUAAGCCCUGCAAGAUAAACAUUCUGUCCAUCCAAUGAGGAAGUGGAUGUAAAGGAGCUCAAAAAGAAGAAGAAGAAGAAGAAGAAGAAGAAGAAGAAGAAGAAGAAGAAGAAGAAGAAGAAGAAGAAAAAGAAAGAAAGAACAAAAGAAAAAAAGAAAAGAAAAAAGAAAACAGAAACAGAAUUGUCCAAGGAAACACAACUGAUUAAUGACAGGAUUUGAGCCCAUGUCCUGAAAUCUAGCAGGAUUUAAAACUAAGUCUGACUAUCCCUAAGACCUGGGGAUUCUGUUUGUUUGUUCUUUUUAAAACUAAACCACCAUUUGAAUGAAUAAUUGUGAAUAAAUGAUGGUGAAUAAGUCAA